GCAUAGGUUCUGCACUAUGCAUUCUUUAUCGUGUACGCUGUCUUCGUGUUGAGUCGAUCGUGUACGUGUACAAAGGAAGACCAGAGUUUUCAAAGCGUCAUGAACCGAAACAGAAGCGACGAAAAAAUGAGGAAACUGUUCCUUGGCGGUCUUCACCGCGACACCAGCGAUGACGACAUCAGGGACUUCUUCAGCCAGUAUGGCACAGUGGAAGACCAGGUGGUAAUCCGGAAGCCCAACAAGGAGUCCAAGGGCUUUGGCUUUGUCACCAUGUCCACGGUGGAGGAGACGGACAAGGUACUGAGUAAGAACACCAACGGCCGGCAAGAGUUCAUGGGCAACAGCGUGGAAGUCAAGAGGGCAGUCCCAAGGGAGUCGCAAGGCGGACGGGAUGGCGGUGGCGGUGGUGGUGGUGGUAGAUGGAGGGAUAGCAUGUCCACCAGAGCCGUCAAGAAGAUGUACAUCGGGAACUUGCCCAUGCAGAUGUCGGAGCAGGACUUGCAGGAUUUCUUUGGUCAGCAUGGCACGGUGACCAACGUCAAGAUCCCUACGUCGCGGGAUACCGGGGAGAGGCAGAAGUAUGCCUUUGUGGAGCUGGAGGAAACGGACGCCGUGGACAAGCUUGUCUUGCAAGGGGACCAUGAAUUCAGUGGGUUCAAGUUUUACGUCAAGAAGGCCAUGCCACAAGGUGAGCGUGAUGGUCGUCGUGGUGGGCGGAGCUACGGCGGUGGUUACGGCAGCGGGGGUGGCAGCUACGGUGGUGGUGGUGGUUUUGGGGGUGGCGGUGGUGGAUACAGGAGAAGUGGCGGCCGUGGCGGUGGUGGUGGAGGAUUUGGAAGCAGUGGCGGUAGCAGAUAUGGCAGUGGUGGCAGCAGUUACGGAGGAGGGAGCGGGUAUGGCGGAUAUGGGGGAGGAAACAGCUCCUACAAUGGUGACUCGUACGGAAGCGGGGGCAGUAGCUAUGACAGCUUCGGUUCCAACUAUGGCCAGAGCAGCUCAAGCUACGGACCCAUGAAAGGGGGCGGUGGAAGAAGCAACUAUGGAGGCGCAAGCAGUUACGGAAGCAGUUAUGGAACAGGUAGCUACUCUAACGGCUCAAGUAGCUACGGCACCGGCGGGGGAACCGGUGGCUAUGGUGGGGGUAGCACUGGGGGUUAUGGCAGCACGGGUGGCGGCGGGGGCAGUUACCGCAGCAACCCGUAUUAGACUUUGCCAACCCAUCACCAGUUGAUUACCUAAGGUCCAUUACUUUGACAGAGCAGUCAUCAAUGCUGGAGAAAGACUUGUGCAAGAUGCUGAUGAAAACCCAAACAGCUUGCUACUGUGUUGAGGUGUACAAUGGCAUGUACUAGGAGGGAAAAACUGAGAUAAUCCUACCCUAGGUGACUGUGGAUUAGUCCUGGACUUGCAUCCUUCAUCAUGACAGAGGAAAUCAUCUAUCUUAGGAGGAGAAACCUGUUGAUGAACAGCACCCAGUGGCAUUAGAUGUACAAUGUUCUGAACUGUUCAGCUUCUACAUUGAAGUCCACGUGCAGCAUUUGGUGUGGGACAAGUCCGGUCCAUCUGUAGCUAAGACUUUGUUCAUAUUGACUCACCAAUGCAGAAGUGUAAUUUGGUUCGCCGACAUUGAUCACUUGACCAGCUUUCAGUAGAAAGGUCAACAUUCAAGGUCAUUACUUGCAUUGACCAAAAUUGCACAUCCAAUUUCGAGCAUUUUUUUUUUCGUAUUUCCACACCAACAUUGACUCUCAAUACCGUGUUUGACAAAUAAUGUAUAGAAUUCAACCAGAAACACUGUAAUCUUUGCACAGUUUUUUGUUGAUUAUUUGAAUUACUGACUUAAUUUGCUAGGAGCACACAUGAACAUUUAUGCAGUUCUUUUUAAGUUUACAAUAUCUUACUGCACAUUAGUUUUUACUGUGAGUUUUUACAUUUGAAGAGUUCAGAUGUAAAAACCAGACAUCCAUUUCUAAAAAUCAGCUUGAAAAGAUGUGGUCCAUUACUUUCUGUGAGGAUGUGGAUUGCCCAUGUCAUCGGGUCAUGAGACCUUUAAUUCAGUUUUGAUUCAAAGUAUUUCAGAUUUUUUUUCUUCUUCAGAUGUUUGAUUUUCCUCAUUUUCGUAAAAUAGGUUUUUAUCUGCUUUUGCAUCAUUUGUUUCAUGGCAUUGUUCUAUGAUCAAGUAAUUUUAAAUCUAGUGAAGUCCAUUGAUCAGUCAAAAUCAGUUCCUUAGAUUGAUAGUUAUAACCUAACAUAGCUUUGUAUGUUUUUGGCCUGGUUUCACAGAAUAAGAACAAUUUUGAGGACAUGUACCUGAUUUUUUUUAGUCAUUUAAAUUAAAGUGUUGAGUAAGGAAUACCAACAAAUUAAAUGAAAACACCAAGUACUGGCUAGAGUUCUAAUUGGCCAUAACCAAUAGGGAGGAACAUAAAAUUUUCAAAUACUCAAAAUUGCUUGAAAGGAAAUAGACAAUUAUGUUCAGGCAUUCAAUUUUUCCUUGGACCAAUUACUUUUGCACAUAAACAUUACAAAUGAAGACAUUUUAAAAAACAGAAAGCCCCACGAAGUCUCAGACAGUUCAGAAUACCCCUUUUUCUGAUUUUAAAGUUGCAUGUCAGUCCGUAAACAGUAUGACUGUAAAAGCAGUUUCCAUAUGAUGGUAAUAGUUUAAAACAAUAGUUGGCCAUCAGUACAAAUGUCAAAAUAAAAUAAUUCAGAGUGUUAGAAAUCCCACACAGCUAUCAGAUUGCCAGAUAAUACACAUACUACUAAAUACUAAAUGAAAAUACAACCUAUUUAAAAUUAACAGUCCCAAAAUUCUAAAAUUGAAGUAGCACUGAAAAACCAAAAAGAUAUUUCUGCCCAUACAAAUUGUCGGCAAAAUCAGAGUGGUCUAUAGGGGGCAUGUUUAGCAACGCUGUCUGGCUUUUCUGUACACAGCAACUGCAACCAAAAGCAUUCUGUCAAAGUAUCAUCUGUGUUCGCUUGUUAUGUACAUCAGAAGGCCUCAUUUAUCGGCAUUUGAACAGUUAAUUAGCCGUUCGGAACGGUGUCUUUAGUAAACAACGCCUUGAUCAUGACACUCAUACCACCAGGAGAACUAGUUUGUAUUUACCCUGUGCACACUGUUCUAUGUGUUUAUGAAUCUAAGAGUGACCAUGGACUUUGAACGGAAAAUAGCCCACCUGUACAUGUACCAAAAUGAGCAGGGUAGUUAUUACCCCAGUCUGUUGACACUGCCGGAAUGCUUUAUUUGUGAACUUAUAUUGAGGCUCAAAGAUCACAAGGGUUUCCUCAAUUCUGUUAACCGUUUAACUAGCCGAGUCCCUUUUGAGGCGCAUGCAAAGUGGAUGUUGACAUAGGCUUUGAGUUUCAACAGAGAAAUAUAUAGCCAAGGUCAUUAACCAACAGAGAAUGUGUGAAAAUGAGUUGGGAUCAAUAUGACAAUUGGAAAUGUCCAACGUAAUCACAAAUAUCCAUAACGUAUUAGAAAUUGACCUCGGACAGAUGCAGGUUUAGUUCGAUGCUGGCGCCAUACCUAUGCUCUAACAUUAUAACGAACCAAGUUUACUCGUACUUCAGUUUUUAAAGACUUUUAACAGAAACAUACUAGCCUUCAAAUAUUUGAGAUUAGUCAUGCGAUAAUGUGCUAAAAUUGUCCACCAAAUCUGACCGCUUUAAGUUGUAAACUCAAAAACCUCAUGAGGCUCUUCCGUAAUAUAGUUAGGGGUUGAGCACUCAUCGUAAUGAACGUUAGCGCACAAACAAUAAUUGUUCCGGUUUAUUUUCUGUUCAUAUUUCUAAAAAGGUCUAAGAUUGGUUUAAUUCACGAGCAUACGUUGUGAAUAUCAAGACAGUGGUUGUUAUUUGUAAGACACGAUUUGGUUUGAUACGUUGUGAAUACCAAGACAGUGGUUGUUAUUUGUAAGACACGAUUUGGUUUGAUACGUUGUGAAUACCAAGACAGUGGUUGUUAUUUGUAAGACACGAUUUGGUUUGAGACAAUGUCGGGGGGAGGUGUUCCUCGGUCCUACAUCAGGAAUUACAUUUUUACAAUGCACUUUUCAAUGUGUAGGAUUUUAUGUUCUCCUUAAACUGGCAUGUGUGCAAUUUUCCCAGAAUGUCAAACCGAGUACGUAGAGUCGUACUGGAAAGAACAAACGUUUGGGGUUGGGUUACUUUGUUUUUUACGAAUAAAAUUGGAUAUAUCGA